rnacentral:lncRNA from 1 species
UGUACUAAUUUUUACUCAUCAACAAUUUCUCUGGUCAUUAGAAAUACAUAACUUUCAUAGUAAUGAGCUAGAGUUAAUAAUUACUUUAUUAACUAAUGAUCAGAUUUAACAAAAACCCAGAUGAGAAGUAAUAAAUAAAGGUUGUCUCAUAGGAUACAUGUAGAGAAAGAAAGUAUACUUACUUUUAGUGAGAUAAUCGUCCAUUCCUAGUUUAAUCUUCUCCCCAAACCUGCACAAAUGGAUUGUAAAUCUACCUUGACAGAGAUGAAAGAUUGGAAGAGUAGAAAAAUGUGGCCCUGGUUUCAGUAUACAUACCGUCAUUCAUAGACUUUGAGAAGAAUAUGCAGAUUUAGGUUCAGGGACCAGCUAGAAACCCUUUUGUGAACUAGACUUAAUUCUCUUCAUCGGUCUAAUAAAAAAUUAGACAAUUAAGGACCAGCAUAUAUUCUCAUCCCUAGUAGUGUACUUUUAGGGACCAAAUUUGAACCCGGUCAUUAAAUGUUGGUCCCUAAUAAGGCUUUUUCUUGUAGUGUAAAGAAGUAAGGAACUUUUAGGAAAAUCAAUGAUGAACUCAGGAUCGUUCCAGAUCUACAGAGAUCUGAAUCGAUUCAAGUCCAAGCAUUGGGUUUCUUGAAGAAAAGAGAAAGGAUAAGAGAAUUUGGCCUUUGAAUCAAGGAUUUGAACCGUGAAACUUCGAUAGAAAUCACUCACAGACCAUGGACAAACUCUUUGAAAAGCCUUAAACAAGAUCUGGACCGGAUCUCUUCGAGGUCCUUCCAUAAAAACCACACAAUCGAACAGUCAGGGAAAUAGGAGACAAGUAGAGGCUUCGUGCAACCAUAGAAUGCCAUAGAUCGGACAGGGAUUUAGGGGAUUAGGGCUGAUUUUGGGUGGCGGCGGCUAGGGUUAGGUUUAGGUCUUAGAGAGAACGGAGAAGAGAGGGUUUCAGGGCGGCUGUUGGUGAGAAAUGGCC